GAAAUGCGAUAAGUAAUGUGAAUUGCAGAAUUCAGUGAAUCAUCGAAUCUUUGAACGCACCUUGCGCUCCUUGGUAUUCCGAGGAGCAUGCCUGUUUGAGUGUCAUGGAAUUCUCAACUCUAUUUGCUUUUGUGAAUAGAGCUUGGAUUUGGAGGUUUAUUGCUGGUACUUGUGAUCGGCUCCUCUUGAAUGCAUUAGCUCGAACCUUUGCGGAUCAGCUAUCGGUGUGAUAAUUGUCUACGCCGUUGCAGUGAAGCAUAUCAAUGGGCUCGGCUUCCAAUCGUCCUUUACUGGACAAUGACUUUGACCUUUGACCUCAAAUCAGGUAGGAUUACCCGCUGACCUUAAGC
rnacentral:misc_RNA from 1 species